GGCCGGAUGGCGCAAUGGUAGCGCGCAGCCCUCCUAAGGUUGAGGUUGACGGUUCGAGUCCGUCUUCGGUCG
rfam:Tuber melanosporum whole genome shotgun sequence assembly, scaffold_4, strain Mel28